UCCCUGAGAUAAGUCAAGAAUAGUAUCCGAA
rnacentral:piRNA from 1 species